AUUGAACGCUGGCGGCAGGCCUAACACAUGCAAGUCGAGCGGCAGCGGAAAGUAGCUUGCUACUUUGCCGGCGAGCGGCGGACGGGUGAGUAAUGUCUGGGAAACUGCCUGAUGGAGGGGGAUAACUACUGGAAACGGUAGCUAAUACCGCAUAACGUCGCAAGACCAAAGAGGGGGACCUUCGGGCCUCUUGCCAUCAGAUGUGCCCAGAUGGGAUUAGGUAGUAGGUGGGGUAAUGGCUCACCUAGGCGACGAUCCCUAGCUGGUCUGCGAGGAUGACCAGCCACACUGGAACUGAGACACGGUCCAGACUCCUACGGGAGGCAGCAGUGGGGAAUAUUGCACAAUGGGCGCAAGCCUGAUGCAGCCAUGCCGCGUGUAUGAAGAAGGCCUUCGGGUUGUAAAGUACUUUCAGCGGGGAGGAAGGUGUUGAGGUUAAUAAUCUCAGCAAUUGACGUUACCCGCAGAAGAAGCACCGGCUAACUCCGUGCCAGCCGCCGCGGUAA
rnacentral:rRNA from 1 species